GACUUCAGUCCAACAGGUGCAACCUGCUGACUCGCACUGAUGGGACCAGGAAAGUAGUUUCUCCAGACCAGACGACAAAAACAGUCUCAUUCCUCAAUGGAGACAUCAAACACAUUUUGGAAGAUGGGAAAGUGGUGUAUUACUACGCAGCAUCACAGACAACACACACCACCUACCCAACAGGUCUGGAGAUCCUUCACUUCCCCAACAAGCAGAUUGAGAAGCGACACCCCGGGGGGAAGAGAGAGAUCUUAUUUCCAGACCAGACCAUCAAGUCUUUGGAGCCCGACGGCAGCGAGAAGACAAUCUUCCCCGAUGGCACCGUCGUUCACCUUUCACCGUAAGACUGAAGUCACUGCUUUAUAUCAGGACUCGCCUCAGGGCGUCUGCAGGGUCAGAAAGGCAGUGGAACCGAGGAAGACUCGCUGUCGUUAAGGUGGCAGUUUACAGGUAUCAUCAUAAAUAAAUAAACAACAUCAGUACACCGGGAGGUAACCAGUAAGAAGACAGACACUGACAUGAUCAGAUUUUGAUAUCAAACAUUAAAUAAAUUAUUUUUAGAUGGGUUUGAAUAACAACAUUUGACACGAGGUAAAGAUUUUCUAAUACAACAUAAAAAAGUAAAACCCUCCAGCACGGCUUCCAAUGCCUGAGAAACUUUUUAUGAGUUCAUAGAGGCUUGAGAGGGAAAACUUCACUAACUACUGUUUACUUGAAAUAUUCCAGUUUAUCUCAGCUGGUGAAGAGGAAAGUUUUGAAGUCUGGCGCUGUGGGAUCCCAAAUUUAGGGAUAAACUUUUUGAGCCUGUAUUUGUUUAUAUUUUGGCAAACUGGCACCAUUAAAAGUUUCCAAAUUAGCUAUUAGUAGUUCCUGUGUGUGAUUUACCCAUGGGUGUACAGACGACUGUCGCUGGAUUAUUUUAAUAUCGAAGAAAACUUAAAAACAAGAUGAUUCUCAGGCAUGUUCAAAUACACUGAAUCUGUGUGUUUAGAUUUUAGUUAGUUAUGACUGAAAAUAUAUUUUAACACAGUCUGGAGUGAACAAACAGACUGAAAUGAACAUUAUCAACAAUCAGUAUCAGUGAUCUUUUAAUUAAAUGUGGUAAAAUAUUAUUUAUUUAUGAACAAUGAUGAUCAAAACUGCAUCUUGAACCUACAAAAACAUCGUACUGGGCCUAAUCAGAACCCUGAACUUGUAAUACCUGAUUUUUUGGCCACUUGGGGGCAGCAGAAACAACACAUUACUGACUUUAAGCACAAUUUAAGUUGAUAUAGUGAAGUUGUUAGCAAUCAGUUACAGAGCCAGCAUUAUCUUUGAUGAAUGUUUUGAUCUCCACCUCCUCCUCAGGGAAAUAUCUGGCUCUUUAGCUGCUAAAUGCUCCGCUGUGUUCACCAGCUAAUCUCUGUUUGCCUGCUGUUUGGUGCUGAGUCACUAUAAAUUUCUGUAAAGCUGAGGGGAGCUGCUCUUUGAUAUUGUUUUGAUCGUCCUCUCUCCCAGGUCCAGGUGAGAAGAUGGUAGAUUUCCCCAACGGUCAGAGAGAAAUCCACACUUCCCAGUAUAAGAGGAGAGAGUAUCCUGAUGGGACGGUAAAGACCAUCUACCCCAACGGACGACAGGAAACCAAGUAUCCAUCAGGCAGAAUACACAUCAGGGAAAAGUUCAGAGUCACCGUCGCAGAAUCUAAAUGAACGUGUGCAGGUGAGACAGAGAGUCCUGUCUGUGUGUGUGUUUAGGGAUAUUUUUCAGAGCUCUGUAAACCCGCAGAUAUAAUCAUGCAUCAACAAUCAGAUGUUCCUGCACCUUAACGAGUUACCUGAUAAACUCAGAGAUAAUGUAGCACCGUCAAUCCUCUGCUAGCUGACACACUCUUUAAGAUGUUGAAGUGAAAAGUCUUAAUAAAUGUCAAAUACUUUGUCUGCUCUUCACAGGAAAAAAUAAUUAAAUGUGUUAAAACAGGAAUCUAAAUGGUUUGUUGAAAAUAGUAUUCCGCUUGUUUUAAUAAAAAUGAUUGAUAAGCAAUAUGA